GAUGAACGCUGGCGGCGUGCCUAACACAUGCAAGUCGAACGGAAAGACCCUUAUGGGGGUCCUCUAGUGGUGGCCGGGGGCGUAAGAGGGAAGUAAACAUCCCUUGCCUCUGUGACAAGGUCAAUAACGUGGGGCUAAUACCGCUAAUGAAUCCUACCUUCAUCGGGGGGGUUCAAAAGCUUCGGCGGCUUUGGAUGGACUCGCGAGGUAUCAGCGUGUUGGCGGGGUAACGGCGUACCAAGGCGUCGAUGCGUAGCCGACGUGAGAGGGCGACCGGCGACACUGGGACUGAGACGCGGUCCAGAGUCCUACGGGAGGCAGCAGUUGGGAAUGGAGGACAAAGGGCGGAAGCCUGAUCAAGCGACGCCGCGUGGGUGAAGAAGGGCUGCGGGUGGGAAAACGCUUUUGUGGGGGAAGAACACAUGCAGCAGGAGCGAAGCUUGUGGUGACGGUACCUAAAGAAGAAGCACCGGCUAACUACGUG
rnacentral:rRNA from 1 species